rnacentral:rRNA from 1 species
GACGAACGCUGGCGGCGUGCUUAACACAUGAAAGUCGAACGAAGUGGCGAACGGGUGAGUAAAGCGUAAUCUACCUGCCCUUCAGAGGGGGACAACAGUUGGAAACGACGGCUAAUACCGCAUACUGCAGGAGGGGAUUGCGUCUGAUGUGCUAGUUGGAGGGGGAACGGCCCACCAAGGCGAUGAUCAGUAGCCGGUCGUAGAGGAUGAACGGCCAACUUGGGACUGAGACACGGCCCAGACUCCUACGGGAGGCAGCAGUUGGGAAUCUUCCGCAAUGGACGAAAGUCUGACGGAGCAACGCCGCGUGAGUGAUGACGGCCUUCGGGUUGUAAAGCUCUGUUAAUCGGGACGCGGUACCGGAAUAGAAAGCCACGGCUAACUACGUGCCAGCAGCCGCGGUAAUUC